GUGGAUUAGAUACCCUGGUAGUCCACGCAGUAAACGAUGAUUACUCGCUGUUUGCGAUACACAGCAAGCGGCUUAGCGAAAGCGUUAAGUAAUCCACCUGGGGAGUACGUUCGCAAGAAUGAAACUCAAAGGAAUUGACGGGGGCCCGCACAAGCGGAGGAACAUGUGGUUUAAUUCGAUGAUACGCGAGGAACCUUACCCGGGCUUGAAAUGCAUCUGACCGGCACAGAGACGUGCCUUCCCUUCGGGGCAGAUGUGUAGGUGCUGCAUGGUCGUCGCCAACU
rnacentral:rRNA from 1 species